CCAAUAGCGUAUAUUAAAGUUGUUGCAGUUGAAAAGCUCGUAGUUGAAUUUCGGGAUCAAUACGUCGGUCGUGCUUCGGUACGUACUGGCGUAAUUGAUUUCUCCCUUCUGACGAACCAUGAUGUCAUUAACUUGGUGUCAUGGGAAAUCAGGACUGUUACUUUGAAAAAAUUAGAGUGUUUAAAGCAGGCUCACGCUUGAAUACAUUAGCAUGGAAUAAUGAAAUAGGACGUUCGAUCCUAUUUUGUUGGUUUUUAGGAUCAACGUAAUGAUUAGUAGGGAUAGUUGGGGGCAUUAGUAUUCAAUUGUCAGAGGUGAAAUUCUUGGAUUUAUUGAAGACUAACUACUGCGAAAGCAUUUGCCAAGGAUGUUUUCAUUAAUCAAGAACGAAAGUUAGGGGAUCGAAGACGAUCAGAUACCGUCGUAGUCUUAACCAUAAACUAUGCCGACUAGGGAUCGGAUGAUGUUAAUUUUUUAAUGACUCAUUCGGCGCCUUACG
rnacentral:rRNA from 1 species